GGACGUGUAGCGCAGUGGUAGAGCAUCUGAUUCCAGAAGUAGACAGCUACUGGUUCAUCCAGAAGGUCAUCCGUUCGAUCCGGAUCUCGUCCU